AACUGAGAGUAAGUAGAAUUUGAAAGGUUGAAAUAACUGGAGGCAAAACACGCAGUUACACGCUAAAAUAAUCGUUAGGAGGCGGCGGAUAGCAAGAUGGAAGAAAGUUAACAUGAAUGGACGUUACAACAAAAGGACGGAAAGGUGUUGCAGACUUGCAGUGGGGGCGAAGGGAUAUGCUGCAAAGAACCUUUCUACAAGGAACCUUAUGGUGCACUGAUGUCACUACCCUCCUACGGGUCUUCAAGCAGCAUAUAGUUAGUGGUCAACUGUUUCAAAUGCUGUGGUUGAGCUGAUAAUGGGACGAAGAGGGAAAUCUCUUCAUAGGUCUUGAUUAAUCCUACACGUAAGCAACGGGACCUACGGCUUUACGUGACUUCCGAACCACGUCGAGAGUGAACUUCUAUCACCAGAAAUACACAACUCACUCCUCAAUGGAAUGGCCGAGAAUCGAACCCGCGACCACCGCGGUGAGAAGCAAACACCAAACCAACCACGCCACUGAGGCGCUCUAACGAAUAAUGGCAUCAUGGAUCAUUGGCUUAAGAAAGGCUGUGCUAUUAACUGUGGAUAAUUCCUUGAUAAUCUACAGGGUCAAAGAUCACCACAAUAGGAAUCUGUUGGAAUCCAUUGUUAUUGAAGCCACAUCAACAAGGAAUUAAACCUCCAUCCUGGAUGGUCCCUUGAUCCUCUUUCCUUGACUCUUUUGCUUAAAGAACAUGCCGCCCAGAUUAACAAACGGUAACCCUGACCCCCUUUUCUGAUUUUGUAUAUAAAGGUCUGUCAAAUUCCCUUAUAUUCAGUGUGAACUUGAAAAUACUGAAUAAACUACAAA